rnacentral:rRNA from 1 species
GAGUUUGAUUCAUGGCUCAGAUUGAACGCUGGCGGCAUGCCUUACACAUGCAAGUCGAACGGCAGCACGGGAGCUUGCUCCUGGUGGCGAGUGGCGAACGGGUGAGUAAUGCAUCGGAACGUAUCCUGGAGUGGGGGAUAACGUAGCGAAAGUUACGCUAAUACCGCAUAUUCUGUGAGCAGGAAAGCGGGGGACCUUCGGGCCUCGCGCUCUUGGAGCGGCCGAUGUCGGAUUAGCUAGUUGGUGAGGUAAAGGCUCACCAAGGCGACGAUCCGUAGCAGGUCUGAGAGGAUGAUCUGCCACACUGGAACUGAGACACGGUCCAGACUCCUACGGGAGGCAGCAGUGGGGAAUUUUGGACAAUGGGGGCAACCCUGAUCCAGCCAUGCCGCGUGAGUGAAGAAGGCCUCGGUU